rnacentral:lncRNA from 1 species
AUGCGCCCCGGUGGCCUCGGCCUCGGGGGCUCGCCUCGCGCCUCUAGGGCCCGGGACACCUGGGCCGGAGAGCGAGCGCCUCGCGCGCCCGCGCAUUCUCUAGGCCCGGGCCGGCGCUUGCGCACGAGCUUCACCGGGCGCGAGGGCCGCGGGGNNNNNNNNNNNNNCCGCCCUGUUUUCUUUCAGGUCGGGCCGGGCCCGGCCGGCUCCGCGAGCGCCUGGCCGACUGAGGGAGAGAGAAAGGGGAGGAGGAGGAUUCAGGGAGUAGGAGCUGGGGAGCCCUUCUGCGCCACAGAACAUUUCUAAUAACUUGGUGAAGAUAGAAAAACUGUCAGACUGUAGUAUUCCUACACUGGAUCGAAUUCUGGACCUUGAGCUUGCAAAGCAGGCGAUGGCACCACUGAGCUAAAUCCCCAGCCCUAAAGUUUCUAUUUUUAACCAAAGAAUAUAAUUUUCCUUUUUUUGGGUUACUGGGCAUCAAACUCAUAUCAAACUCAGGACUUUGCAGUUGCCAGGGAGGCACGGUGCCAGUGAGCUAAAUCCCCCAAAGAAUAUAAUUUCUUUUUCUGUCCUGCGUAUCAUAACAUAGUGUAAUUAUUAGGGCUCUAUUGUUGAGUAGUUAGUUGAAUAGGUUAAAGUAGUCAUUUGAAUAAAAGAAUGCCGUAUGCUCGGUGGCCUUUAUUUUGUGUUUGCUUGGAUUGAGUUACUGUGUACUUUAUGUUUUAACACUUCAGAGAAAUGCUGCAUUGUGCUUCUCAAGUUAAAAUGCUUUUGAGCUGGGUCUGGCCACACACCUAUAAUCCCAGUACUCAGGAAGCUGAGGCAGGAGGAUUGCCAUGUGUUUGAGGCCAGCCUGAAUGACAUAGUGAGACUCCUUGUCUCCAAAAGCCAAAAAAAAAAAAGUUCUAUUGAAAUACAGUGAAAAUAGGGCCGAGGAUUUAGCUCAGUGGAGCAGCACCUGCCUUGCAAGUGCAAGGUCCUGAGUUCGAUUCACGGUACAAAAAAAAAGAAAAAGAAAUAUAGUGAAAAUGGCUUCUGUAGACAGGUUUCACUAUAGAAUUGUAAAUUAUGCAUAUACCCAAAUUUCUUAUUUUAAAAUGUUGAAUAUGUAAAUAUUUCAUUUGAAUGUUGCUUUAAUUUCUUCGUAUGAAUUGCCUUGAAAGAAGUGGCUUCUUUUGAUUUCUAUACAUGGAUUUAGAAAUGUCUCAUCUGUAUCUGUGACUCUUCUGUUCUACAGAUGAACAGCCACACAUACUGUUAGAUAUGGGAUUUUAUUUUUAAAUGUGGUCCUGUAUGCCAGUGUGGUUUUCUUUCAAAGAAAACAAGCUGCCUCUCCAGUACUGAAUAAAGUAUAUUAGCUCUUGUGAUAAUCUACUGAGGCCACACUGUUAACAUAUAAUUACCAACUAAUCUUUCUUUGGAUGAUACAUAUUUGUGUGUACACAAACACCACAUACACAUACAUGUGAAAUUUUCUUCUGACAUCAGAAUCAUUUUUUAGGUCUUAUUUUUCAAAGAGACAUUAAUGGUAGGCUAUUAAAAUGAUAGCUAACAUUGAGAUCUUAUGUGCAGGCACAGUGCUCAUAUCUUUUACAUGGAUUAUAUGUUGAUGUUCACAGUAAGAUAAGUACUGUCAAUUUCAUUUUCAGGAGGAGGAAAUAGAAGUGUAGAGAUAUUAAAUAAUUUUGCCCUUGUCUUAACUGAGAGUAAGUCUUGGCACUGGGAUUAGAACUCAUUUAAUUUGACUUGGCCAUUCUUGCAAGCCUGUAACACUUUUGUAUGUGUAGAUAGUAUAAUGUAGUUUUUAACCAGAGUGGUGUUUUUUUUUUUUUUUUUGGGUACCAGGGAUUGAACUUGGGACCUUGUGCUUGGUGAGGCAGGCGGUGGAACCACUGAGCUAAAUCCUUGGCCCCAGAGUGUUUUUAAAUACCCCCCCACCCCCGACUAUGUGGUUUUAUCUCUGAUAACUUUAACUUGUUCAGUAUAUUUACUUUGUGUUAGACUUAGUCAUCUUUCUUAAGUAGUAGGCAAGUACUUGAGUUUCUUGACUUUUCUGAUUUGAUGCUUAUGAUCCUGCAUGAUUAAGCAGAAUUACAUACCGAGUUAAUACAGUUGCUUUUUUUGAUGACCAACAUUCAGAUCAGAUCUUUUGACUCUUAAACCCAGAGCUAUUUCCAGUGCUUAGAUCAAAUCUUCUUAUUAACAGGGUCAGACACAUAUUGUUAAGAGAAUGAUUGUCUGAUACUUAGCUUUUAUAGAAAUGACUACAAACAUAGUAUUAAAUUAAACCUAAAUGUAGUGUUUAAUACACAGGCAUUUUAACAUGUGCAUGAAAAGGACAAGAAAGUAGCCAAGUGUAGUUUUUGUUUCUUUUUUUUGGUACUGGGGAUCAAACUCCGGACCUUGUGCUUAGUGAGGCAGGCAGCAGAACCACUGAGCUAAAUCCCCGGCCCUAAUUGUAGUUUUAAAUAGAUACAAUUUAUAGUAUUUUAAAGAUUGUGGGGAGACUACAAGAUUAAGAAAAGAUGUGAAUUUGGUAUGAGAUUGAAAGAAAAGAAUCUUCCCAACCCUGUUUGUUAUCUGAAGACAGAGGGAAACCUCCAUUCUGGGUUAAAUACAUAAAACACAUCAGAAAACAGAUGAAUUAAAGAGCAACAGAAUUUGGGUGAUAUUGGUAUGAGUGCCAUAACUGACAGGGUACAGGGUACUGUGGAAAUCAGCCAAAGUUUUAAAGUUAGAAAGAUUUUUCAAGUAAGAAUAUUACAUCAUAAAAUCCUCAAAACACAUGAUUUAAUAAUAUGAAGUAUUGUAAUGGCUAGUAUGAUUGUAUGAUUUAUCUUCUAAUCCAGGACAGUUUUAAAAGUGAAAAGGUGUGCUGUAAUUGUCAGGACAGUAGAUUGUAAAGUGGGACCUUUUCGGAGAAAUGGAAGUAUACAGUCACCCUAGUAAUAUCUCAGUUUUUGAUGAGUAAUUCUUAAUAGUCGUGAACAAUUUAUAUUGAACAGAAAUCUUUUUUUUUUUUCAGGUCCUUGCGCUUGCGCAGCAGGUGGUGAAACCACUGAGCUAAAUCCCCAGCCCUUGAACAGAAAUCUUAAUUGACAUAUUCUCUCUUCAAGAGUGUUUUCUUUAAUGAUAAACUCUGAAUGGCCAAUAUUUAUGUCUUUUUGUUAGCUAAACCAGGCCAUUUUAUGGCUACAACUUUUAAUAAAGGCUAACUGGUAUUUUACAGGUUUGAAGCCUGUUUUGAAGGUGAAAGUAAGAGUAUUUAUUACUAUUAGAAACAGAAAGAUAAGUACAGUUGGUCUACUUUGCAGUAGAAAGUUCUGAAGUUUUUCCUUAUAUCAAAUAGUACAGGAUUUUCUUUUGCUUGUUUUGCCUUCUAAAUAAUAAGUUGCAUUGGGCCAGGCAUUUAGCUCAGUGGUGCUGCCUCCUGCUUUGCAAGCUCAAGGUCCCAAGUUGGAUCCCUGGUACAAAAAAUAUAUAUAUGUGUGUGCGCACGCGCGCA